rnacentral:lncRNA from 1 species
CUCGUUGACAGAAAAGUACUGAGUACACAGAAGUGGCGACGGGCAAAUGGAGAUCCUGGAAAAGGAGGUUUUCUACCAAAAUAUCCUUGUGAACAUGAGGACAGCUUCCAAACUGAGAAAGAGUGGGCUCGAGAAAGCUCUAAUGCUUCUUUCCCUGACACGAAGUGCUUCGUGCAGUGUUUGGCAUCAACAUGUCGGAGCCGUGGCAACGUUCUCCGUGCAUCCCCGCUUGGGCGUCAUUUGGGAUGUAUGAAUAUGGACUGAAGGUCAAAC